UCAGCGUUUCCUUUCUAGCUUCUUUUAUUUUGGCAGUACUUCUCUUUACAAAGGUUACAGAAAAGUUCUCAACAAACGUUGAUCACAAUCUACCCUUGUACAUGGAAGACAAGCUGAACCAGUUCUGUAUGGUGUCGUUAGUUGGUGCUAUUGUACUGACAAUAUUUUGCCUAGGUAGUUUGGUCUGCCUGCUAUUCUCUCUAUGCCUACUACUGCCUGAAUGGAGCCUGCCUGCUGCCUGUAUAAAUGUAAAAAGGCUUGCUAUAACAGAAUACCUGCAGACUAUUUGUCCACCUGAGGAACCUUUGUCAACUUAACAAUUAGAAAUCCAGGGAGAUAAAGUUAAUGUUGAGAAGUGUAUCUAGGAGAAUAUUCCAGUUCAAAGACAUCAAGUUAUAACUCUCAACUCUCUCUAUUCAUAAUUAUUGAUGAAAUGUUUAAAAUGUAAACUUUUUGUUCCCAGAACUCAUUAAAUCACAUAUUAAAUACAAUAAACAAAUCAUGAUCCAA
rnacentral:misc_RNA from 1 species